AUUGAACGCUGGCGGCAUGCCUUACACAUGCAAGUCGAACGGUAACAGGUUAAGCUGACGAGUGGCGAACGGGUGAGUAAUAUAUCGGAACGUGCCCAGUAGUGGGGGAUAGCCCGGCGAAAGCCGGAUUAAUACCGCAUACGACCUACGGGUGAAAGGGGGGGAUCGCAAGACCUCUCGCUAUUGGAGCGGCCGAUAUCAGAUUAGGUAGUUGGUGGGGUAAAGGCCUACCAAGCCUGCGAUCUGUAGUUGGUCUGAGAGGACGACCAGCCACACUUGGACUGAGGCACGGCCCAGACUCCUACGGGAGGCAGCAGUGGGGAAUUUUGGACAAUGGGCGCAAGCCUGAUCCAGCAAUGCCGCGUGCAGGAAGAAGGCCUUCGGGUUGUAAACUGCUUUUGUCAGGGAAGAAAUCCUCUGGGUUAAUACCUCGGGGGGAUGACGGUACCUGAAGAAUAGGCACCGGCUAACUACGUGCCAGCCGCCGCCGUAAAAC
rnacentral:rRNA from 1 species